AUGACAAAGAGGUGCUGCAAGAGAUGCGUAGGCGCCGUUGUGUGCGAGCUUCGCCGUAGCACGACGAACCGGACAUCGCCGCGAUGGCGCAUGCCUCCAUGCAGCCGAGUGUGUGCGCAUGCAUGUGUUAUUCACGUGCAUUCUGCGGCCGAGUGUGUGUGCAUGCACGUGUUGUGUACUCCUACGUGCGUUGUGUGCUCCAUGCUGUGCGCGUAUGUGCAUGAUUUGGAUCCGGUGGAGUUAAUGCGUUGGCGUGUGUACAUGCGUGGCUGCAUGCGUCCUGUACAUGCAUGGCUUGUUGCGUGGUUAUCAAUAUAA
rnacentral:rRNA from 1 species